rnacentral:rRNA from 1 species
GUGCCAGCCGCCGCGGUAAUACGUAGGUGACAAGCGUUAUCCGGAAUUACUGGGCGUAAAGCGCACGCAGGCGGCGCAGUAAGUCUGACGUGAAAUCUCCCGGCUUAACUGGGAGGGGUCGUUGGAAACUGUUGUGCUUGAGGCGGUGAGAGGGGUGUAGAAUUCCCGGUGUAGUGGUGGAAUGCGUAGAUAUCGGGAGGAAUACCAGUGGCGAAAGCGACACCCUGGCACUGUGCCUGACGCUCAUGUGCGAAGGCGUGGGGAGCGAACGGGAUUAGAUACCCCCGUAGUCC